ACGCUCGACACCUACGGGAGGCAGCAGUUAGGAAUAUUCGUCAAUGGGGGAAACCCUGAACGAGCAAUGCCGCGUGAGUGAUGAAGGCCCUAUGGGUUGUAAAACUCUGUUGUUGAGAAAGAAUUGUAAGAUUAGGAAAUGAGUCUUACUUGACGGUACUCUUCAAGAAAGCCACGGCUAACUACGUGCCAGCAGCCGUGGUAAUCUGAGCGGGCUGGCAAGGC
rnacentral:rRNA from 1 species